AAGAUCGGUGCUUGCACUGAUCCGAUCGAGUGGCGGACGGGUGAGUAACGCGUGGGUAACCUGCCUCAUACAGGGGAAUAACAGUUGGAAACGGCUGCUAAAACCGCAUAAGCGCACAGUAUUGCAUGAUACAGUGUGAAAAACUCCGGUGGUGUGAGAUGGACCCGCGUCUGAUUAGCUAGUUGGUGGGGUAACGGCCUACCAAGGCGACGAUCAGUAGCCGACCUGAGAGGGUGACCGGCCACAUUGGGACUGAGACACGGCCCAAACUCC
rnacentral:rRNA from 1 species